GAUGAAGAACGUAGCGAAAUGCGAUAAGUAAUGUGAAUUGCAGAAUUCAGUGAAUCAUCGAAUCUUUGAACGCACAUUGCGCCCCCUGGUAUUCCGGGGGGCAUGUCUGUUCGAGCGUCAUUUCACCACUCAAGCCUCGCUUGGUAUUGGGCAUCGCGGUCCGCCGCGUGCCUCAAAUCGACCGGCUGGGUCUUCUGUCCCCUAAGCGUUGUGGAAACUAUUCGCUAAAGGGUGUUCGGGAGGCUACGCCGUAAAACAACCCCAUUUCUAAGGUUGACCUCGGAUCAGGUAGGGAUACCCGCUGAACUUAAGCAUAUCAAUAAGCGGAGGA
rnacentral:misc_RNA from 1 species